rnacentral:rRNA from 1 species
UACGUAGGGGGCUAGCGUUGUCCGGAAUCAUUGGGCGUAAAGAGCGUGUAGGCGGCUUGGUAAGUCCGCUGUGAAAGUCCAGGGCUCAACCCUGGAAUGCCAGUGGAUACUGUCAAGCUAGAGUCCGGAAGAGGCGAGUGGAAUUCCUGGUGUAGCGGUGAAAUGCGCAGAUAUCAGGAGGAACACCAAUGGCGAAGGCAGCUCGCUGGGACGGUACUGACGCUGAGGCACGAAAGCUAGGGGAGCAAACAGG